CAACAUAUUUCAUCAUCAUAUAUACAAAAAAUAAAAUCCAUUAGAGUGUUAAUUAAAACCAAACUUCCAUUUAUAAUAUGCAGAGAUUUAUGAUUCAAAUUAGGUAUAGUUUACACAAGCCAACCAAACACAAAGCAACCACAUAGCUCUCAUAACACCUUCAACAAAAUCUAAGAAUAUUUCAAUUUGUUGAAAGUGAGAUCCAUGAACACAUUAUAUUAUUAUUCUAUAAAAGCAAACACAUACAUACUAGUAUAUGCUUCUUAUACAUUAAAUGUGUACACUCAUACACACAAUUAUACAUAUUGAUUUCAUUAUUAUCUCUGCUUCAAACUUUCAUAUGUUGCAUCUCACUUGCAGUUGCAAGGGUCACAUGUGCAGUUUGAUCCACACUUGCACCCACUUUCCUCAGCUGCAACACCCAUUUCAGCACCCUCAAAUUGGAUCUUUGCCGGACCAACGCCGAGAAUCACGGUUUCUGUGGUUUCCACUUCCACAUAGCUCAAUCCACUUGACCUCUUGUUGC
rnacentral:lncRNA from 1 species